rnacentral:rRNA from 1 species
UACGUAGGUGGCGAGCGUUGUUCGGAUUUAUUGGGCGUAAAGGGUCCGCAGGGGGUCUGUUAAGUCUGAUGUGAAAUCUCACGGCUCAACCGUGAAACUGCAUUGGAUACUGACGGACUAGAGUAUUGGAGAGGAGAGCGGAAUUCCAGGUGUAGCGGUGGAAUGCGUAGAUAUCUGGAAGAACACCGAAAGCGAAGGCAGCUCUCUGGACAAUUACUGACCCUCAGGGACGAAAGCGUGGGGAUCAAACAGGAUUAGAUACCCUGGUAGUCCACGCUGUAAACGUUGUGAACUUGAUGUGGGAGGAUUUAACCCCUUCCGUGUCGGAGCUAACGCUUUAAGUUCACCGCCUGGGGACUACGGCCGCAAGGCUAAA